GAUGAACGCUAGCUACAGGCUUAACACAUGCAAGUCGAGGGACCGGCGCGCGGGUGAGUAACACGUAUCCAACCUGCCCUUUACUCUGUGAUAGCCUUUCGAAAUACAUAUUAAUACCCGAUAUAAAGGAUGGGGAUGGGUUACAUUAGGUUGGUGGUGAGGUAACGGCCAACCAAGCCUUCGAUGGCGAGGGGUUCUGAGAGUCAGCGACCCCACAUUGGAACUGAGACACGGUCCAAUAUCGUACGCGACGGUGGAGUGAGUAACAUUGGUCAAUCGACGUUAGCCUGACCAAGCCAAGUAGAGUGAAGGAGGAAGGCUUAGGGGUCGACAACUUCUUUUAUAUAAGAAUCUUUAUUAUAUGAAUAAGGAUCGGCUAACUCCGUGCCAGCAGCCGCGGUAAUAC
rnacentral:rRNA from 1 species